rnacentral:snRNA from 1 species
GUGCUCACUUCGGCAGCACAUAUACUAAAAUUGGAACGAUACAGAGAAGAUUAGGAUGACACGCAAAUUCGUGAAGCAUUCCAUAUUUUU